UCAGGAUGAACGCUAGCUACAGGCUUAACACAUGCAAGUCGAGGGGCAGCAUGGUCUUAGCUUGCUAAGGCCGAUGGCGACCGGCGCACGGGUGAGUAACACGUAUCCAACCUGCCGUCUACUCUUGGACAGCCUUCUGAAAGGAAGAUUAAUACAAGAUGGCAUCAUGAGUCCACAUGUUCACAUGAUUAAAGGUAUUCCGGUAGACGAUGGGGAUGCGUUCCAUUAGAUAGUAGGCGGGGUAACGGCCCACCUAGUCUUCGAUGGAUAGGGGUUCUGAGAGGAAGGUCCCCCACAUUGGAACUGAGACACGGUCCAAACUCCUACGGGAGGCAGCAGUGAGGAAUAUUGGUCAAUGGGCGAGAGCCUGAACCAGCCAAGUAGCGUGAAGGAUGACUGCCCUAUGGGUUGUAAACUUCUUUUAUAAAGGAAUAAAGUCGGGUAUGCAUACCCGUUUGCAUGUACUUUAUGAAUAAGGAUCGGCUAACUCCGUGCCAGCAGCCGCGGUAAUACGGAGGAUCCGAGCGUUAUCCGGAUUUAUUGGGUUUAAAGGGAGCGUAGAUGGAUGUUUAAGUCAGUUGUGAAAGUUUGCGGCUCAACCGUAAAAUUGCAGUUGAUACUGGAUAUCUUGAGUGCAGUUGAGGCAGGCGGAAUUCGUGGUGUAGCGGUGAAAUGCUUAGAUAUCACGAAGAACUCCGAUUGCGAAGGCAGCCUGCUAAGCUGCAACUGACAUUGAGGCUCGAAAGUGUGGGUAUCAAACAGGAUUAGAUACCCUGGUAGUCCACACGGUAAACGAUGAAUACUCGCUGUUUGCGAUAUACGGCAAGCGGCCAAGCGAAAGCGUUAAGUAUUCCACCUGGGGAGUACGCCGGCAACGGUGAAACUCAAAGGAAUUGACGGGGGCCCGCACAAGCGGAGGAACAUGUGGUUUAAUUCGAUGAUACGCGAGGAACCUUACCCGGGCUUAAAUUGCAGAUGAAUUACGGUGAAAGCCGUAAGCCGCAAGGCAUCUGUGAAGGUGCUGCAUGGUUGUCGUCAGCUCGUGCCGUGAGGUGUCGGCUUAAGUGCCAUAACGAGCGCAACCCUUGUUGUCAGUUACUAACAGGUUCCGCUGAGGACUCUGACAAGACUGCCAUCGUAAGAUGUGAGGAAGGUGGGGAUGACGUCAAAUCAGCACGGCCCUUACGUCCGGGGCUACACACGUGUUACAAUGGGGGGUACAGAGGGCCGCUACCACGCGAGUGGAUGCCAAUCCCCAAAACCUCUCUCAGUUCGGACUGGAGUCUGCAACCCGACUCCACGAAGCUGGAUUCGCUAGUAAUCGCGCAUCAGCCACGGCGCGGUGAAUACGUUCCCGGGCCUUGUACACACCGCCCGUCAAGCCAUGGGAGCCGGGGGUACCUGAAGUGCGUAACCGCGAGGAGCGCCCUAGGGUAAAAC
rnacentral:rRNA from 1 species